rnacentral:rRNA from 1 species
UACAGAGGUCUCAAGCGUUGUUCGGAUUCAUUGGGCGUAAAGGGUGCGUAGGUGGCGCUGUAAGUCGGGUGUGAAAUUUCGGAGCUUAACUCCGAAACUGCAUUCGAUACUGCGGUGCUUGAGGACUGGAGAGGAGACUGGAAUUCAUGGUGUAGCAGUGAAAUGCGCAGAUAUCAGGAGGAACACCGGUGGCGAAGGCGGAUCUCUGGGCCUUACCUGACGCUGAGGCGCGAAAGCUAGGGGAGCAAACAGG